CCUACGGGAGGCAGCAGUGGGGAAUAUUGCACAAUGGGCGCAAGCCUGAUGCAGCCAUGCCGCGUGUGUGAAGAAGGCCUUCGGGUUGUAAAGCACUUUCAGCGGGGAGGAAGGCGGUGAGGUUAAUAACCUCAUCGAUUGACGUUACCCGCAGAAGAAGCACCGGCUAACUCCGUGCCAGCAGCCGCGGUAAUACGGAGGGUGCAAGCGUUAAUCGGAAUUACUGGGCGUAAAGCGCACGCAGGCGGUCUGUCAAGUCGGAUGGGAAAUCCCCGGGCUCAACCUGGGAACUGCAUUCGAAACUGGCAGGCUAGAGUCUUGUAGAGGGGGGUAGAAUUCCAGGUGUAGCGGUGAAAUGCGUAGAGAUCUGGAGGAAUACCGGUGGCGAAGGCGGCCCCCUGGACAAAGACUGACGCUCAGGUGCGAAAGCGUGGGGAGCAAACAGGAUUAGUUACCCCUGUAGUC
rnacentral:rRNA from 1 species